CCUACGGGCGGCUGCAGUGAGGAAUUUUGCGCAAUGGGGGCAAUCCUGACGCAGCAACGCCGCGUGGGUGAUGAAGGCCUUCGGGUCGUAAAGCCCUGUCAGGUGGGAAGAAUGUCCCGGAAUUGAACAGGUUUCGGGAGUGACGGUACCACCAGAGGAAGCACCGGCUAACUCCGUGCCAGCAGCCGCGGUAAUACGGAGGGUGCAAGCGUUAUUCGGAAUUACUGGGCGUAAAGCGCGUGUAGGCGGUCCUGCAAGUCUGAUGUGAAAGCCCCGGGCUUAACCCGGGAAGUGCAUUGGAAACUGUGGGACUUGAGUACUGGAGAGGAUGGGGGAAUUCCCGGUGUAGAGGUGAAAUUCGUAGAGAUCGGGAGGAAUAUCAGUGGCGAAGGCGCCCAUCUGGACGGUAACUGACGCUGAGACGCGAAAGCGUGGGGAGCAAACAGGAUUAGAUACCCCUGUAGUC
rnacentral:rRNA from 1 species